rnacentral:lncRNA from 1 species
UCCGACAGCUGAUUUAAGCAGCAGUGAUGCAAGUGGCAUCUCCCCUCCUUCAUCGGCCGACUCAGGAGAUUCCAGUAUAGAUAGACUUAUGGGACAACCUGUAUCAAGGCACAGCUUCAGUAAAAAAUUACCACCACUUCCUCCUAGCCCACCAGUACGAUCGAGAAAAGGCAGUUCAAGUUCUAUGCGAAGAAGUCUCAGUGAAAUGCAUCUCAGCGGUUCCGAAGACGGGACAACGUAAUACUGGCUAGGUGUUUUCUUGUAAAAACGAUUAAAAAAAGUGUAUGAUGUAUAUUAAAAUGCAAUAAAAUAUGUGUGAUCUAA